AUGAGAUCUCAGCGGGGCUCACGACCCUCAUGGCCAAGGGGAAAACCAAAGAGCACCGGGCGCGGGUCCGGCCAGGGGACAGGCGGGAGGAGAAGUCCCCUGAGCCGGCUGCGGGCGAUGCAAAGCCGGCUGCAUCCCCGGGUGCCAAAGCCACACCAGAGCCUCCAGCACGGCCUUCGGGAGGGAAAGCGGAGCCUGCAAAGGCGUCCGCCCCGAAACCCACCGCCCUGGAGAGGCACAAGGUAGCGCGUGUGCAUACAGCAUGGGUGCCCUAACCUGUGUGGCAGAGCAUGGUGUGAGCUCACCCGCAUGGCGUGCAGUGGUUUUGGGGCAUGCGGGGUGUGCGGUGACACGUGGGGACGUUAUUUGGGGUGCACCCCGUCACACUGCCCUUAUCUCCCCGUCGCGUUCACACCGAGAAGAAGCAGCAGCCUGGCGAGAAGCGACCGACCCCAGCAAAAACCGCCCCGGGACCCCCCCAGCAGGCUGCGCCCGGCCCCGCGCCCCGGC
rnacentral:lncRNA from 1 species